rnacentral:rRNA from 1 species
ACGCUCGACACCUACGGGAGGCAGCAGUGGGGAAUAUUGCACAAUGGGGGAAACCCUGAUGCAGCGACGCCGCGUGGAGGAAGAAGGUCUUCGGAUUGUAAACUCCUGUUGUUGGGGAAAAAGAGGAUGGUACCCAACAAGGAAGUGACGGCUAACUACGUGCUAGCAGCCGCGGUAAUCUGAGCGGCUGGCAAGGC